CCUUCCUUCAUAACCAUCAGAAUAAUACAUUUUAGUCACCACGUCGUAUAGCAUUGGAAUUAAAUAUGUAGCACUUUAUUUAGAUCGCUUCCGAAUGCAUGCGAGUAAUCGUCUAGAUUACUACGUAUCAUCUACGAAUUCUGCGUUGUACGUCUCCACGGACAGACUUGAGUGAGAAUGUGUAUCUGUUAUUUUGGUAUAUUUCAACAUUUGACAACCGCGGCACUCAAUUGACAAAGCUAGCCACCUGUGAAACGUCAUUGCAGCAGAGGCAUCACCACCCACCAACGUAGCCACGUUUUCUGCCUAGAAACACCAACGGCUAAUCGGAACAGCGAGACCGAAGAAUCCCGUGGGCUGUUACCAACGUGGGGUGAUUUUUUCAUGCCAAAAAUGGGAGGUGGACAGAGCCUAGAGGAGACUGGACAGCUGGACGACGUUAGACUCUCUGGUCACCGCAUCCAAGAAUCUAACACGGAUGCCCGUUCAGAUGCUGAAACCGCGCCUAACCCAGAUGAGCCUGCCACUGAGCUCCCCCAGUGCAGGAUGGGGGCAAAAAGCGUGGAUGACAUGUGCUUCAUGAUCUCAUGCACUAACUGGUACUAAGGGGCGAUGGGUGGCAAAGCAUUUAAAAACAGGCAUGCAAACCCAAAACUUUGCUUUGAUGCCGCAUGCUCGGGGGAUGUAAGAGUUGUUGAAGUGCUCACCUCAGCACUUCACGUUUUAGUCCAAUUUAGAUCGGGAAAAAAAAACACAAGUACAGCUAAGGGAAGUGGUCGUGCUGCAUGUGGGUUGCUCAGGUGCAGUGUUAAAUGCACUGCUAUUACAGGCCAGGCUUGUACCGGCUGCUACUCAGAAGUCCACCGCAUGCAAAAAUAAACCUUUUUGCUGUGGCUUGCACACUUUGCUGCCUGGGUUUCACCAGAGUUGGCAGAUAGUAGGCUUUGUUUAUCACGUAUGGUUAAAAAAAAAAGACUUGUCAGAUUUAAGAGGAAAGAAAUAAGCACCAGUAAUACUGUUUGAAAGUAUUGAUCAUUGAGGUGAGAAAGAUCCUGAGGGCACUGUGCACCGGAACAUCAUUCGGUGUGUCAUUUACCCAUGUUAGUUGGAUACUAACAUAUAACUAUGGUAGUGGCCAUUCUUUAUGAUCUGCCAUGCUAUUUGAGUUGCAUACUUUUGGCCUUUCACGGCAUUAUAGGAAUCAUAAAUCAUGAGAUUCCUUAUAAACAAUAAUUUUCUUCUUGAACAGUGUAAGAGUCAUUGCAAAGCUUUUUAAACCUUUUAUUGACAUUUCUUUGUUAAUAGAACAUGGUGAUAUUGUUAGAUAUACAGUGUGGAACUGUUGAUGAAAGUAAUAUAUAAAAAACAAUGUUUACUUUUAUGUAAUUAAAAGUGUUUCUUUUGUAAAUAAAGCUUAAAUAAUAUGGUGUGUAAAAACAUAUUCUGAUAACCUUUAUCCAUUUCUGAGAUUGAUAAAACAGAUCAGACAGCAAAAGAAAAAUACAAAAGAUCAGACCUUUCAAAAGUGUCAGGUUUUUAUAUUUACACAAUCAUUUAUUAGGGGGUACGUUCAACUCACAGUCAUCUUGGAACUGUAUUUCUUUUUCUUAGAAAAAUCACUGAUUUUUGUGUUGUAUUUUGAAAACAGACAGUUUGAUAUUCACUUCUUUUGAUCAGUCAGAAAAAAAAAAAAGAAAAAAAGAAUAUGUACAUAAAAUACAUCGUAAAACAUCAUGAAAACAAGAAACAAAAGUGAACGUCCUCUUUAAAGCUAUGUUAGAUAAAAUCUCACUUGAUCCUCAGUUUAAGAACUUUAAUACAAUUUUUAACUUUAAAAGUCUGGACUACCUCUGAUAUGUUUUCUCCUAUUCUCAUGUAAAAGAACUCUAGAAACAAAAGGCAACAACAGGCAAGAUACAGGUGACUGUUGUCUUUAGCCACCAUAAUGUUCAUAUAGUAGGCAAACCCAAGGACCCUUCAUUCCCCCAACCAGUAGAAAAUGGUAUUGUAUAUGAUUAAGAGAAUUAAGAGAAAUGUAAAAGGUAGAUGGACCAGCCCCAUCUAUCCCCCAACGUAUAACUGUGUACAUACUUUGCAUCAAUAUCUUCAAUAAAUAUAUGCCAUAUUA